UACGAAGGGGGCUAGCGUUGUUCGGAAUUACUGGGCGUAAAGCGCGCGCAGGCGGUUCUUCAAGUCAGAGGUGAAAGCCCAGAGCUCAACUCUGGAAUGGCCUUUGAGACUAGAGAACUAGGGUACGGGAGAGGUGAGUGGAAUUCCGAGUGUAGAGGUGAAAUUCGUAGAUAUUCGGAAGAACAUCAGUGGCGAAGGCGGCUCACUGGCCCGUUACCGACGCUCAGGCGCGACAGCGUGGGGAGCAAACAGG
rnacentral:rRNA from 1 species